GCAGGUGAGACUUCAGACAAAGUAAAGAAGACAACCAUGCCAUCUUUCAACACUGUGGGAUCAUCACCAAAUCGUAAACCUUUGGGCAAGGAUGAUAACAUAA